UACGGGGGGAGCAAGCGUUGUUCGGAUUUACUGGGCGUAAAGGGCGCGUAGGCGGCCAGCACAAGUCAGUUGUGAAAUCUCCGGGCUUAACUCGGAAAGGUCAACUGAUACUGUGCGGCUAGAGUGCAGAAGGGGCAACUGGAAUUCUCGGUGUAGCGGUGAAAUGCGUAGAUAUCGUAAGGAAGACCAGUGGCGAAGGCGGGUCUCUGGACAGUUCCUGACGCUGAGGCACGAAGGUCAGGGGAGCAAACGGG
rnacentral:rRNA from 1 species